rnacentral:rRNA from 1 species
GACGAACGCUGGCGGCGUGCUUAACACAUGCAAGUCGAACGGAAAGGCCCUGCUUUUUUGGGUUGCUCGAGUGGCGAACGGGUGAGUAACACGUGAGUAACCUGCCCUUUACUUUGGGAUAACUUCAGGUAACUGGUGCUAAUACCGGAUAGGAUCUCCUGCUGCAUGGUGGGGGUUGGAAAGUUUCGGCGGUUGGGGAUGGACUCGCGGCUUAUCAGCUUGUUGGUUGGGUAGUGGCUUACCAAGGCUUUGACGGGUAGCCGGCCUGAGAGGGUGAACGGAGAGAUGGGGACUGAGAUACGGCACAGAAUCAUACGGGAGGCAGCAGUGGGGAAUAUGGCAAAAUGGGCGGAAGCCUGAGGCAGCAAAGCCGCGUGCGGGAUGAAGGCCUUCGGGUUGUAAACAGAUUUCGAAUGUGACGAAGAGUGAGUGACGGUAAUGGGUAAAGAAGCACCGGCUAACUACGUG